rnacentral:lncRNA from 1 species
CCUGUUGGUCGCCCUGUUGUCAGCCCUGUUGGUUGCUCCUGUUGUGUUCUCCUGUUGGCCAGCCUGUUGGUCAGCCCUGUUGGUUGCUCCUGUUGGUCAGCCCUGUUGGUUGCUCC